UCCUUAUUUUUGUAAAAUUUGAGCAAAUAGGGGUCUGCCGUCAAAUUGAAUAAACGCCGUUAAGGAGAGUAUUACGUGGCAUGCUGACGGUGUAGUUUUAAUUUACGUGGCAUUAAAAACGUGUGUGAAUUAUAUUUUUUUAAUUUUUGAGAUUCUACGCUCCGUUCCCAAUUCCUUCACUCAGUCCUUCUGGCCGCACCCUUUCAACGCCGAUUCCGUGACCUCUUUUUUCGUCGAUUUCACCGGCUACGUCUCCAAGGCCGCGCAAGCGUCUAGGUGGAGAAGAGCACGAACUAGAUCGAAAUGGGUUCUUUAUGUCGGUGAUUAUGGUGCUAAAGGGGAUGGUCUUCACAAUGACACUGAGGCCUUCCUGGAAGCUUGGGGAAUCGCAUGUUCUCUCGCUGGAUUUAUAAAUCUUGUUUUUCCAUCUGGGGAAACUUUUCUUAUCUAUCCAGUGGACAUUGGUGGACCUUGUCGAUCUAAGAUUAUUUUGACGGUAAGCUCACAGAGUCAAAUCUCUCACAUGUUGACAAAUUCUGCUGGCAAGCUCACGGUUCUGCUCGGGGUUUCUUGUAUCCUCCUACUUGUUUCUCAAUCAGUGAUGAUUUCAUUAGACAAAAUAUCUUCGUAGAGUCAAACCAUACUAUUCAUUCCGUUUGAAUUGAAAGUAUAUAGAUUAAAGGUAUUUCUUUGUACAAUAAAAUGAGUACGCGAGUUCCUCGGUAA